CCACUUGGAUGCCCGGGGUAAUUCUAGAGACAAGCAUAUGACUACAUCCCGACUUCGGAAGGGUUGUAUUUAUNNNAUUAAAAACCAAUGCCCCUCGGGGCUCUCUGGUGAAUCAUGAUAACUAGUCGAAUCGACAGGCCUUGUGCCGGCGAUGGCUCAUUCAAAUUUCUUCCCUAUCAACUUUCGAUGUUUGGGUCUUGUCCAAACAUGGUGGCAACGGGUAACGGAGGGUUAGGGCUCGACCCCGGAGAAGGAGCCUGAGAAACGGCUACUACAUCCAAGGAAGGCAGCAGGCGCGCAAAUUACCCAAUCCCGACACGGGGAGGUAGUGACAAUAAAUACUGAUACAGGGCUCUUUUGGGUCUUGUAAUCGGAAUGAGUACAAUUUAAAUCCCUUAACGAGGAACAAUUGGAGGGCAAGUCUGGUGCCAGCAGCCGCGGUAAUUCCAGCUCCAAUAGCGUAUAUUAAAGUUGUUGUGGUUAAAAAGCUCGUAGUUGAACCUUGGGCCUGGCUGGCCGGUCCGCCUCACCGCGUGCACUGGUCCGGCCGGGCCUUUCCUCUGCGGACCCCAUGCCCUUCACUGGGUGUG
rnacentral:rRNA from 1 species